GCUCCCGUCGUUCAAUGGAUAGGAUACGACCUUGCGGAGGUUGCGAUGUAGGUUCGAUUCCUACCGGGAGCA
rnacentral:tRNA from 1 species